GACGAACGCUGGCGGCGUGCUUAACACAUGCAAGUGGAGCGACGAACCAGGCUUCGGCCUGGGGCAAAGCCGCGAACGGGUGAGUAACACGUGGGUAACCUGCCCUGAUGACCGGGACAACCCGAGGAAACUCGGGCUAAUACCGGAUGUGCUCCCACCACAUCAGUGGUGUGAGUAAAGGUAGCUUCGGCCUCCGCAUCGGGAUGGGCCCGCGGCGCAUUAGCUUGUUGGUGGGGAAAGGCCUACCAAGGCUACGAUGCGUAGCUGGUCUGAGAGGACGAUCAGCCACACUGGGACUGAGACACGGCCCAGACUCCUACGGGAGGCAGCAGUGGGGAAUCUUGCGCAAUGCGCGAAAGCGUGACGCAGCAACGCCGCGUGAGUGAAGAAGGCC
rnacentral:rRNA from 1 species